rnacentral:misc_RNA from 2 species
CAGAGAGAUUGCCCUCACGGGUAGCCCUCCAACCCUUUGCCAACCGUCGUUUGUUGCUUUGACGGGCCCGUCUCCGGACCGCCGGCGCUCGCUGGCCCGCGCCCGUCAGAGGAUCAUCCAACUCUGUCAAACUGUCUGAGAAGAAAUACAAUUAUCA